UAAGGAAUAUUGGACAAUGGUCGCAAGACUGAUCCAGCCAUGCCGCGUGAAGGAUGAAGGCCCUAUGGGUUGUAAACUUCUUUUGUACGGGAAAAAACCCCUCUACGUGUAGAGGGCUGAUUGUACCGUAAGAAUAAGGAUCGGCUAACUCCGUGCCAGCAGCCGCGGUAAUACGGAGGAUCCAAGCGUUAUCCGGAUUUAUUGGGUUUAAAGGGUGCGUAGGCGGAAUGAUAAGUCAGUGGUGAAAGCCCUUCGCUUAACGAAGGAACUGCCAUUGAUACUGUCAAUCUUGAGUACAUUUGAUGAGGGCGGAAUGUGUCAUGUAGCGGUGAAAUGCUUAGAUAUGACACAGAACACCGAUUGCGAAGGCAGCUCUCAAAACUGUAACUGACGCUGAGGCACGAAAGCGUGGGUAUCAAACAG
rnacentral:rRNA from 1 species